GUUUAGCCAACAUUCACAUAGAUGUGGUUUAGCCAACAUUCACAUAGAUGUGAUUUUAUUGGUGUUAGAGUUGGAUCUGUGUUCAAGCUGUCAAAUCUACAAGAGGCUUCUAGCAUUAUACCUAAAGCCAACAUUGCCAUUGGCUGCACGGAGUCACAUUUACAGAAAUCCCAUGAACACCGGACUGUGAGACGUAAUCUACACCUCCACUGCCAUGGAUAUAUAAUGAACAAAGAAGAUAGAAAUGAGCUUCACCAGUGGUGCAGAGGAUUAAAUACCUGUCUUGAGACGCUAACACUGCAGGUUCAAAUCCUACAUGUGCAGGUUAUCAACGUGGGAAAAAAUAUGAUUUUGUUUGUAUGAUUAAAUGCUGUUCAAAUGGUCUAUGAAUGAAAUGAAAAUGCCAUGAGUCGAUAUCACCUUGUCGUCGGCCUACAUUACAGUUACAUCAGGAAAGCACCAUAACGGGCAUCUAUUCCAAACUGUUAAGGAGCUGGUAAUGUUACAUCAGGUCAAACUGAAAUAUAACAUUUUCAAAAUAUUCUGAGGACCUCCAAGACAAGGUAAGAUGUUUGUUGUGUGAACAUCAAUAGAAUAUUAUGGUAAUCUUCAAACAAAUAUGCUAUGAACGUCAUAUAAACUAAUACUAUGCAACGUUGCGGGAAUGUUCUGUCAGCCUUCGUGAAUAUCAACUCCUAUAACUUAAUUAGACCAGGUGUUCUGUCAACCUUUGUGAAUAUCAACUCCCAUAACUUAAUUAGACCAGGUGUUCUGUCAACCUUUGUGAAUAUCAACUCCCAUAACUUAAUUAGACCAGGUGUUCUGUCAACCUUUGUGAAUAUCAACUCCCAUAACUUAAUUAGACCAGGUGUUCUUUCAACCUUUGUGAAUAUCAACUCCCAUAACUUAAUAAGACCAGGUGUUCUGUCAACCUUUGUGAAUAUCAACUCCUAUAACUUAAUUAGACCAGGUGUUCUGUCAACAUUCUUACAACAUUAAAUCAAAAUCACAUUUUAUUGGUCACUUACAUGUGUUUAGCAGAUGUUAUUGCGGGUGUAGCGAAAUACUUGUGUUUCUAGUGCAGUAAUAUCUAACAAGUAACAUCUAACAAUUUCACAACAUAUACCCAAUACACACAAAUCUAAGUAAAGGAAUGGAAUUUAAAAAAUAUUAAUAUAUGGAUGAGCAACAUCAGAGCGGCAUAGACUAAGAUACAGUAGAAUAGAAUGGAACACAGGAUAUAAAUAUGAGAUGAGUAAUGCCUAACAUUUAACCAUUAUUAAAGUGACUAGUAUUCCAUGUAUUAAUGUUCCAUUAAGGGAAUGUCCUGUGCAACCUAACUUAAACAUUGCUUGAAUGUCAUCUCAACUGAGCAUAUUUUGUGUUUUGGGAACCUAUCUCUUAUAAUGUAUCCACACUGUUCCCACAACCUAAUUAAAUGUUCUGGGAACCUUUAAAGAACUCAGAAAGGCUGUUCUGUCAAUAUUCUUGCAACAUCAAAGGAAUAUUUUGUGCACCCUGAUACAAUCAUUAUCUGAAUGUCAGCACAUCUGGACAGUUUUACUGUUUUGGGAACCUGUCUCCUGUCACAUUCCCACAAUGUUCACACAACCUAAAUAAAUGCUUUAGGAACUUUUAAAGAAUAGAAGAAAUGUGUUCUGGGAAAGUUAUUGUAACAUCUGAGUGUGUUUUUGCACACUAAAAUAAACGUUGUAUAAAAAUG
ensembl:lncRNA